GACGAACGCUGGCGGCGUGCCUAAUACAUGCAAGUUGAGCGCUGAAGGUUGGUACUUGUACCGACUGGAUGAGCAGCGAACGGGUGAGUAACGCGUGGGGAAUCUGCCUUUGAGCGGGGGACAACAUUUGGAAACGAAUGCUAAUACCGCAUAAAAACUUUAAACACAAGUUUUAAGUUUGAAAGAUGCAAUUGCAUCACUCAAAGAUGAUCCCGCGUUGUAUUAGCUAGUUGGUGAGGUAAAGGCUCACCAAGGCGAUGAUACAUAGCCGACCUGAGAGGGUGAUAGGCCCCAUUGGGACUGAGACACGGCCCAAACUCCUACGGGAGGCAGCAGUAGGGAAUCUUCGGAAAUGGACGAAAGUCUGACCGAGCAACGCCGCGUGAGUGAAGAAGGUUUUCGGAUCGUAAAACUCUGUUGGUAGAGAAGAACGUUGGUGAGAGUGGAAAGCUCAUCAAGUGACGGUAACUACCCAGAAAGGGACGGCUAACUACGUG
rnacentral:rRNA from 1 species